AUGGCCACCGCUCGCUGUCGCGAACCAGCGCGGCCACCGGCCUCCAUUCGCCGCACCUACAUGCCCAUCAGUUGCGCCAACCUCCUCUUCAACGUCUUCGCCCAUGAGAUCAAGCCCGGGACCCCUACCUCGCCGGAUCGACCACGUCUCCCCUCUUUGCCCCGCUCCCCGCCGCCGUUCGACUGCCACCUCGCCGGACUCCGUCGAGCCUCGCCGGCGAACCCCUGCAUCGGGGACCCUGAGACUGUCGGCAACCCCCAGUACGACUAUGGUGUCGACGACCAGUCCUUUGCAGCAGAGCUUCCAGAUGACGGAGCCCAGGAGCCAGCUGCCACUACCGUCGAUGGCUACCUCUACUCCGACAGUGGCUACUUCUACGUUCACGAUGCUGACGGCCAGGAGUAG
rnacentral:rRNA from 1 species